UUGCAUAUUCCUAAAAGCGGAGGAAAAGAAACCAACAGGGAUUGCCUUAGUAACGGCGAGUGAAGCGGCAAGAGCUCAAAUUUGAAAUCUAGCACUUUCAGUGUUCGAGUUGUAAUUUGAAGAAGGUAUCUUUGGAGUUGGCCCCUGUCUAUGUUCCUUGGAACAGGACGUCACAGAGGGUGAGAAUCCCGUGCGAUGGGGAGACCAAUUCUUUGUAAAGUUCCUUCGAAGAGUCGAGUUGUUUGGGAAUGCAGCUCUAAGUGGGUGGUAAAUUCCAUCUAAAGCUAAAUAUUGGCGAGAGACCGAUAGCGAACAAGUACAGUGAUGGAAAGAUGAAAAGAACUUUGAAAAGAGAGUGAAAAAGUACGUGAAAUUGUUGAAAGGGAAGGGCUUUUGAUCAGACUUGGUGUUUAACGAUCUCUUCUCCUUGUGGGAGGGGCUCUUGUUUUAUACUGGGCCAGCAUCGGUUUGGAUGGCAGGAUAAUGACAUUGGAACGUGGCUUCAUUCGUGAAGUGUUAUAGCCUUUGUUGAUACUGCCUAUCUAGACCGAGGACUGCGUCUUGACUAGGAUGCUGCGGAACUGUCGUU
rnacentral:rRNA from 1 species